rnacentral:misc_RNA from 1 species
AAAACCACGUACUCAGCAGGUCAGAUGGCCGGCCUCGGGAUCGGCAUGCUGGUGCUCGCCUUCGCCCUGGUCUUUGUGUCUCUGACUGUUUACUUUAAGAAAUUCCAUGCUACUGGCUCAAUGCAAAGUUCCGUGGAAAAUCCUACCUACAGCAAGGAAUAGGAACAUCAUUUCGUCACACACAACAAAGACUACGCCACACAUUUUGGAUCUGUGAAAGUUUUGUGUAUCUCCAAACUAUAUACCACUUUCUGGACCAAGCUAAAUGAAUACAAUCAUUGCUUUUACAUGGAGACAAGGGGUUAUAUGCCUACAUAUACAUGUAUACACGACACUACUUGAUUCUCCUAUUCCAUCACACUUUUACAUCCGUGAGUGUGUAUAUAUGUAUGUAUUUAUGUAUUGUGUUUUGGUUCUGUACGUAUUUGUGAAUAAACCUUUACAUUAUGUGGU